rnacentral:rRNA from 1 species
GACGAACGCUGGCGGCGUGCCUAAUACAUGCAAGUCGAGCGAGCAGAACCAGCAGAUUUACUUCGGUAAUGACGCUGGGGACGCGAGCGGCGGAUGGGUGAGUAACACGUGGGGAACCUGCCCCAUAGUCUGGGAUACCACUUGGAAACAGGUGCUAAUACCGGAUAAGAAAGCAGAUCGCAUGAUCAGCUUAUAAAAGGCGGCGUAAGCUGUCGCUAUGGGAUGGCCCCGCGGUGCAUUAGCUAGUUGGUAAGGCAACGGCUUACCAAGGCAAUGAUGCAUAGCCGAGUUGAGAGACUGAACGGCCACAUUGGGACUGAGACACGGCCCAAACUCCUACGGGAGGCAGCAGUAGGGAAUCUUCCACAAUGGACGCAAGUCUGAUGGAGCAACGCCGCGUGAGUGAAGAAGGUUUUCGGAUCGUAAAGCUCUGUUGUUGGUGAAGAAGGAUAGAGGCAGUAACUGGCCUUUAUUUGACGGUAAUCAACCAGAAAGUCACGGCUAACUACGUGCCAGCAGCCGCGGUAAUACGUAGGUGGCAAGCGUUGUCCGGAUUUAUUGGGCGUAAAGCGAGCGCAGGCGGAAGAAUAAGUCUGAUGUGAAAGCCCUCGGCUUAACCGAGGAAUUGCAUCGGAAACUGUUUUUCUUGAGUGCAGAAGAGGAGAGUGGAACUCCAUGUGUAGCGGUGGAAUGCGUAGAUAUAUGGAAGAACACCAGUGGCGAAGGCGGCUCUCUGGUCUGCAACUGACGCUGAGGCUCGAAAGCAUGGGUAGCGAACAGGAUUAGAUACCCUGGUAGUCCAUGCCGUAAACGAUGAGUGCUAAGUGUUGGGAGGUUUCCGCCUCUCAGUGCUGCAGCUAACGCAUUAAGCACUCCGCCUGGGGAGUACGACCGCAAGGUUGAAACUCAAAGGAAUUGACGGGGGCCCGCACAAGCGGUGGAGCAUGUGGUUUAAUUCGAAGCAACGCGAAGAACCUUACCAGGUCUUGACAUCUAGUGCCAUCCUAAGAGAUUAGGAGUUCCCUUCGGGGACGCUAAGACAGGUGGUGCAUGGCUGUCGUCAGCUCGUGUCGUGAGAUGUUGGGUUAAGUCCCGCAACGAGCGCAACCCUUGUUAUUAGUUGCCAGCAUUAAGUUGGGCACUCUAAUGAGACUGCCGGUGACAAACCGGAGGAAGGUGGGGAUGACGUCAAGUCAUCAUGCCCCUUAUGACCUGGGCUACACACGUGCUACAAUGGACAGUACAACGAGAAGCGAGCCUGCGAAGGCAAGCGAAUCUCUGAAAGCUGUUCUCAGUUCGGACUGCAGUCUGCAACUCGACUGCACGAAGCUGGAAUCGCUAGUAAUCGCGGAUCAGAACGCCGCGGUGAAUACGUUCCCGGGCCUUGUACACACCGCCCGUCACACCAUGGAAGUCUGCAAUGCCCAAAGCCGGUGGCCUAACCUUCGGGAAGGAGCCGUCUAAGGCAGGGCAGAUGACUGGGGUGAAG